rnacentral:rRNA from 1 species
ACGCUCGACACCUACGGGGGCAGCAGUAGGGAAUCUUCCACAAUGGGCGCAAGCCUGAUGGAGCAACACCGCGUGAGUGAAGAAGGGUUUCGGCUCGUAAAGCUCUGUUGUUGGAGAAGAACGUGCGUGAGAGUAACUGUUCACGCAGUGACGGUAUCCAACCAGAAAGUCACGGCUAACUACGUGCAGCAGCCGCGGUAAUCUGAGCGGGCUGGCAAGGC